rnacentral:tRNA from 1 species
GCGGGAAUAGCUCAGUGGCUGAGCAUCGCCUUGCCAAGGCGAGGGUCGCGGGUUCAAAUCCCGUUUCCCGCUCCA